GGAUCCAGACUUUGAUUAUGGCUCAGGAUGAACGCUAGCUACAGGCUUAACACAUGCAAGUCGAGGGGAAACGACAUCGAAAGCUUGCUUUUGAUGGGCGUCGACCGGCGCACGGGUGAGUAACGCGUAUCCAACCUGCCCAUCACUUGGGAAUAACCUUGCGAAAGUAAGACUAAUACCCAAUGACAUCCCACGAAGGCAUCCGAAUGGGAUUAAAGAUUUAUCGGUGAUGGAUGGGGAUGCGUCUGAUUAGCUUGUUGGCGGGGUAACGGCCCACCAAGGCAACGAUCAGUAGGGGUUCUGAGAGGAAGGUCCCCCACAUUGGAACUGAGACACGGUCCAAACUCCUACGGGAGGCAGCAGUGAGGAAUAUUGGUCAAUGGGCGAGAGCCUGAACCAGCCAAGUAGCGUGCAGGAUGACGGCCCUAUGGGUUGUAAACUGCUUUUAUAAGGGAAUAAAGUGAGUCUCGUGAGACUUUUUGCAUGUACCUUAUGAAUAAGGACCGGCUAAUUCCGUGCCAGCAGCCGCGGUAAUACGGAAGGUCCGGGCGUUAUCCGGAUUUAUUGGGUUUAAAGGGAGCGUAGGCCGGAGAUUAAGCGUGUUGUGAAAUGUAGUGGCUCAACCUCUGCACUGCAGCGCGAACUGGUCUUCUUGAGUACGCACAGCGUGGGCGGAAUUCGUGGUGUAGCGGUGAAAUGCUUAGAUAUCACGAAGAACUCCGAUUGCGAAGGCAGCUCACGGGAGCGCAACUGACGCUGAAGCUCGAAAGUGCGGGUAUCGAACAGGAUUAGAUACCCUGGUAGUCCGCACGGUAAACGAUGGAUGCCCGCUGUUGGCCUGAAUAGGUCAGCGGCCAAGCGAAAGCAUUAAGCAUCCCACCUGGGGAGUACGCCGGCAACGGUGCAACUCAAAGGAAUUGACG
rnacentral:rRNA from 1 species